CCAGGAUGGAGGGUCUCUCAGGGAGACGAAACCCAGCUGGAGAAAUCACGGCCUGGGAGCCCUUGGCCCCACUCGCAAGACAACCCGCCCGGCGCGAAGGAUGCGUCCCCCGAACCCCGCGCAGGGAAACUGGAAGGCAGGCAGCCUCUUGAGCUCCAACAGAGUGUAAUCUCAAAGAAGAAAAAAAAUCUUUAAAAUGAAAAGGGGGGAUAAAAAACUAAAUUUGAACAAAACUAAAUUACAAGCCCACAGGUCCCUGCGCCGCAAACGAGGUGGGGGAGGAGGGGGCGGAACGGCCGAGGCUCUGAGAGUGGGGGAUGCGGCGAGAAAUCCGUCCCCUGCAGAGUCGGUGCCUUCGGGGGCUCCACAGCCGCACGCUCCGACUUGCAAGGUUUGGACUCACACGGGAGGCCGAAGGUCUGCAAGACAGAACUGGAAAGAACUCCUCCCAUCACUCAUGGGAGAAAAUGAAGCUCUCUACUGGCCUCUAUCAGAGAAGCUAAAAAUUUCCCUCUUUUCUGCAAGUGUCCCAAACCCCAUGACUCUUAUUUCCAGGGAUCCUGUUUGGAAGGUCAGGGACAAUGACAACUGA
rnacentral:lncRNA from 1 species